UGUUUGUCAUUAUUUUCACAAUUCUGCUUGAUGCCACAGACUUCUCCUUUAUAAGAUAAAAGAAAGCAUACCUAACAAAACAUACGAGUGAAAGGGAUUCAGUAGUGAAACUGCUCUUUGCUAAAGAAGGUGACCUUUUACUCUUAUAUUUCAGUUCUUGCUCUACAAUUCCAUAAAUGCCUAAUUGAUUGUGUCUUACAUUAGAAAUCAAACCAAGUAAAGUCAAAGCAAAAAUACUUUCCUACAAGUAAAAAACAAAACGUGCUAUGCAGGUUAUUUUGAUGUCGGUGUCAAAGGAAGGAAAGCAUUCAAUAAUAGAAUUGAGUUUGUGGUUUUGUGCUGCAUUCUUCCAUUUUUGCUUUUUUUAUACUAUAGGUCACUCUUGCCUGCCAUCUAUAGAUGCUUUUCUUCUGUCUCAUCUACUGAUGUUAUUUUCUUCUACCUCACUAGCUGCAGAAACAUCUACAGCUCCAUCAGCAAAUUCAACAGCCCCUGCACUAACAUGCAUAAUAGCUACAAAGGCAUCUAUGGCUCGUUUAACAAAAACUCCUGCACCAACAUGUAUAUCAGCUACAACAACAUCCACAGCUCGAUCAUCAAUAACAACCCUUGCCCCACUGUCUACAUCUCGCUCAGCAGUCACUGAACCAUCAUCUACAACUCAAUCAAGACCACCUACACCAACUUUAAGUUCACCUGUACUAACAUCAACCACUCUGUCAUCAACAACGAUUGCACCAUCAACUGCAUCAACAUCGAUAUCAGCUGCAUUAACAUCUACUCGAAUACCAACAUCUUCUCAAAUGACUGCUCAACUUACAUCUUCAACUCAACCAGCAAAUAGGACAACAUUAGCUCAUGCAACUUUCAAAUUGAGAUGCUUUGUUGAGCUGAGCAAUGAAGAAAUCAUUACAUAUAUUGAAAAGUUUCUCAAGCACUUUCAAUCAAGCAUUAGUGGGACCAUCAGGAUUACUGUGAAGAAAUCAAGAAAAAUGUUGGCCUAAAGAUCUUAUGGAAAUCCCAACCCUCAGCGCUCCUAAGCCUGGCAUUCCUUUUUAAUAGUCCCCUCGUUUCCCAUAAUAUUGGUUGCCAUCUUGUGUCUGGACCAUACACACUUCCCCCGAGGUGGUGGCAACCCCUACAAACUGCUGUCUUUGACUCCCUUUAAUUAUGGUCUUUGUAUCUAUUUUUUGUUUCCUCUG